GCCCUUCAGCAGCCGCGGUAAUACGUAGGGUGCAAGCGUUAAUCGGAAUUACUGGGCGUAAAGCGUGCGCAGGCGGUUAUGCAAGACAGAUGUGAAAUCCCCGGGCUCAACCUGGGAACUGCAUUUGUGACUGCAUAGCUAGAGUACGGUAGAGGGGGAUGGAAUUCCACGUGUAGCAGUGAAAUGCGUAGAUAUGUGGAGGAACACCGAUGGCGAAGGCAAUCCCCUGGACCUGUACUGACGCUCAUGCACGAAAGCGUGGGGAGCAAACAGGAUUAGAUACCCUGGUAGUCCACGCCCUAAACGAUGUCAACUGGUUGUUGGGAGGGUUUCUUCUCAGUAACGUAGCUAACGCGUGAAGUUGACCGCCUGGGGAGUACGNCCCGCAAGGUUGAAACUCAAAGGAAUUGNCCGNAGGGNGNAUUUNNCCNGNUNCCCNCNACANNG
rnacentral:rRNA from 1 species